rnacentral:rRNA from 1 species
AUCAACUUUCGAUGGUAGGAUAGAGGCCUACCAUGGUGGUAACGGGUAACGGGGUGUUAGGGCACGACACCGGAGAGGGAGCCUGAGAAACGGCUACCACAUCCAAGGAUGGCAGCAGGCGCGCAAAUUACCCAAUCCCGACACGGGGAGGUAGUGACAAUAAAUAACAAUACGGGGUUCUUUCGGAUUUCGUAAUUGGAAUGAGUACAAUUUAAAUCUCUUAACGAGGAACAAUUGGAGGGCAAGUCUGGUGCCAGCAGCCGCGGUAAUUCCAGCUCCAAUAGCGUAUAUUAAAGUUGUUGCAGUUAAAAAGCUCGUAGUUGAAUUUCGGGGUCGGUAGGUUGGUCAUGCCAUCGGUAUGCACUGGUCUCACCGAUUCCUCCCUCUUGUAGAAGCGUAAUGCCAUUAAUUUGGUGUUGCGGGGAAACAGGACUGUUACUUUGAAAAAAUUAGAGUGUUUAAAGCAGGCUCACGCUUGAAUACAUUAGCAUGGAAUAAUGAAAUAGGACGUUUGAUUCUAUUUUGUUGGUUUCUAGGAUCGACGUAAUGAUUAAUAGGGAUAGUUGGGGGCAUUAGUAUUCAAUUGUCAGAGGUGAAAUUCUUGGAUUUAUUGAAGACUAACUACUGCGAAAGCAUUUGCCAAGGAUGUUUUCAUUAAUCAAGAACGAAAGUUAGGGGAUCGAAGACGAUCAGAUACCGUCGUAGUCUUAACCAUAAACUAUGCCGACUAGGGAUCGGAUGAUGUUAAUUUUUUAAUGACUCAUUCGGCGCCUUACGGGAAACCAAAGUGUUUGGGUUC